GACGAGGGGUCCGAGCGUUGUUCGGAAUCAUUGGGCGUAAAGCGGGUGUAGGUGGCUCUAUAAGUCAGAAGUGAAAGCCUCGGGCUUAACCCGGGAAGUGCUUUUGAUACUGCAGAGCUUGAAUGUGGGAGAGGGUAGUGGAAUUCCAGGUGUAGUGGUGAAAUACGUAGAUAUCUGGAGGAACACCUGUGGCGAACGCGGCUCACUGGACCACAACUGACGCUGAGGCGCGACAGCGUGGGGAGCAAACAGG
rnacentral:rRNA from 1 species